GGGGCCGUAGCGCAGCUGGGAGCGCGUCUCAAUGGCAUUGAGAAGGUCAACGGUUCGAUCCCGUUCGGCUCCACCA
rnacentral:tRNA from 1 species